UACGUAGGGGGCAAGCGUUGUCCGGAAUCAUUGGGCGUAAAGAGCUCGUAGGCGGUUUGUCGCGUCUGCUGUGAAAUCCCGAGGCUCAACCUCGGGCCUGCAGUGGGUACGGGCAGACUGGAGUGCGGUAGGGGAGAAUGGAAUUCCUGGUGUAGCGGUGGAAUGCGCAGAUAUCAGGAGGAACACCGAUGGCGAAGGCAGUUCUCUGGGCCGUAACUGACGCUGAGGAGCGAAAGCGUGGGGAGCGAACAGG
rnacentral:rRNA from 1 species